AGGCCUACGGGACGCAGCAGUGGGGAAUAUUGCACAAUGGGGGAAACCCUGAUGCAGCGACGCCGCGUGAGCGAAGAAGUAUUUCGGUAUGUAAAGCUCUAUCAGCAGGGAAGAAAAUGACGGUACCUGACUAAGAAGCCCCGGCUAAAUACGUGCCAGCAGCCGCGGUAAUACGUAUGGGGCAAGCGUUAUCCGGAUUUACUGGGUGUAAAGGGAGCGCAGGCGGCUUGGCAAGUCUGAAGUGAAAAUCCAGCGCUUAACGUUGGAAGUGCUUUGGAAACUGCCGGGCUAGA
rnacentral:rRNA from 1 species